rnacentral:lncRNA from 1 species
AAAUUUCUCCUGGUUCCCUGAGGAAGUGCUGGGAGUCAAAUUCAGGUCGUCUGUAAGAGCGUUUUCAGGUAUGUCUGUGUAUCAUGUGUGUGCUGAUGCCAUGGAGCCAGAAGAGGACGUCGGAUCCCCUGGGGCUGGAGUUAUGGGUAGUGUACUGAGAAUAGAACCUGGAGCCCCAUGUAUGCCUGACAGGUAUGCUCCUCAACUGCCUGGGCCACGCAGGAAGAGCUUCACAUCUUCAAAGGCGUUAAAAAUGUCCCUAGCCUCUGUGCAGGGCACACAAAGAACAUGCCUGGAGGAUAAAAGUGCAACGCCGUGUAAUGAACUCGGCAAGAACAAGGUCAUCGGGGACACAGCUAAGUAACGUUUCAAAUGAGGCACUCAGGGUGACUUUGGGCCCAAGGAACAUGCGCAUUGUAGGCAUGGAAAGAAUGUAGGAGCAAGAUGUAAUGGCAUUGUGAUGCUUUACCCAGUGAGUUGGAUGUCCUCACUGCCAUCUUGAAUCAAAGCAACGGAGAAGUCUCAUGACAGCAAGCCAGAAACAUCCUGGUGGCCGGGCAUGCCAGAGGAAAUGUACUCACUUCAAAGAAGGCAGGAAGCAGACAGAGUUGAGAAACUGCCAAGGGACAAACAAA